rnacentral:rRNA from 1 species
UGCCAGCCGCCGCGGUAAUACGGAGGGUGCAAGCGUUGUUCGGAAUUAUUGGGCGUAAAGCGCGUGUAGGCGGUUCGUUAAGUCUGAUGUGAAAGCCCGGGGCUCAACCCCGGAAGUGCAUUGGAAGCUGGCGAACUUGAGAUGGUUAGAGGCGGGUGGAAUUCCUGGUGUAGAGGUGAAAUGCGUAGAUAUCGGGAAGAAGGCCGGUGGCGAAGGCGGCGCUCUGGAACGUACCUGACGCUGAGGUGCGAAAGCGUGGGGAGCAAACAGGAUUAGAUA